rnacentral:rRNA from 1 species
GGAUGAACGCUGGCGGCGUGCCUAAUCCAUGCAAGUCGAGCGAACAGACGAGGAGCUUGCUCCUCUGACGUUUGCGGCGGACGGGUGAGUAACACGUGGAUAACCUACCUAUAAGACUGGGAUAACUUCGGGAAACCGGAGCUAAUACCGGAUAAUAUAUUGAACCGCAUGGUUCAAUAGUGAAAGACGGUUUUGCUGUCACUUAUAGAUGGAUCCGCGCCGCAUUAGCUAGUUGGUAAGGUAACGGCUUACCAAGGCAACGAUGCGUAGCCGACCUGAGAGGGUGAUCGGCCACACGGGAACAGAGGCAGGGUACAGACUCCGACGGGAGGAAGCAGUAGGGAAUCUUACGCAAGGGGCGAAAGCGUGACGGAGCAACGCCGCGUGAGUGAUGAAGGUCUUCGGAUCGUAAAACUAUGUUAUUAGGGAAGAACAAAUGUGUAAGUAACUAUGAAGGUCUUGACGGUACCGAAUCAGAAAGCCACGGCUAACUACGUG